GACGAACGCUGGCGGCGUGCCUAACACAUGCAAGUCGAACGGAACUGUUUUGAAAGAUUUCUUCGGAAUGAAUUUGAUUUAGUUUAGUGGCGGACGGGUGAGUAACGCGUGAGUAACCUGCCUUCAAGAGGGGAAUAACAUUCUGAAAAGAAUGCUAAUACCGCAUGACAUAUCGGAACCACAUGGUUUUGAUAUCAAAGAUUUUAUCGCUUGAAGAUGGACUCGCGUCCGAUUAGUUAGUUGGUGAGGUAACGGCUCACCAAGACCGCGAUCGGUAGCCGGACUGAGAGGUUGAACGGCCACAUUGGGACUGAGACACGGCCCAGACUCCUACGGGAGGCAGCAGUGGGGGAUAUUGCGCAAUGGGGGCAACCCUGACGCAGCAACGCCGCGUGAAGGAUGAAGGUUUUCGGAUUGUAAACUUCUUUUAUUAAGGACGAAAAAUGACGGUACUUAGUGAAUAAGCUCCGGCUAACUACGUG
rnacentral:rRNA from 1 species